GCAGUCAAACGUCGGAUCUCUAGCAAGGUUGCAAAGAUCAUCGAUGAAUAUCUGGAUGGGUCCUCAGCAUUACAUGACAUGUUUUUUCCUGCUGAAACAAUUGUUGUGAACCCAACAAAAGGCGGAAAUGAUAGCAUGUACUUUUAUCCCGAUAAGGUAUGGCUGGACACUGAUGGAAAUACCAUUCAAGCCCAUGGUGGUGGGAUUCUGUAUGAUCACAAUACCGCGACAUACUAUUGGUACGGAGAAAACAAAGAUGGACCAACCUAUCAAAUUCACCCCGAAGGGGCACAACGGGUCAGUACAAAUUUCUAAUAAAAUAACAGCCUUAAGCAGUCUUUGUUUUUCCAGCAACCUGGUCGGUCGUGACUAGUUUUUAUUACCUGUUGUUUGUUCGUGAUUGAUUGCUGCUUAGUAGGUUGUGCACUGAAACUUGCUUCUGUUUGCAUGGGUGUGGUCCAGCUGCUAACCGCUUGUUAGAGGCUUAUAACACACUUUUAAAGGUACUCUCUGAAUUUUUCUAUUCGUUUUGAUCACUUUGUUUCUCAUUUGAAUUUAUUAGUUUGAUUCAAGAAUCAUAAUAAACAUAUAUACAUCGAGGAUAAGAGUAUUACUGAGCCCUGGCUAAAAAUUAUGCUAAUUUGUGGCGUCUGAUGCAAUUUAUCUAGAAUCGUUUUUCAUGAAAAAAUUCUUAUGAGGAUAAUCUUCAAUUGUCCACUAACUUAACUAGAUAAUUUCUACAUUAUCUUUAUGUGAAGAAUGCAUAGUGUAUUUCUUAUCCUGUUGCACCGUGGAGGAAGAAGAAAAAUCCCUGAAUAAUCUAUUUUUGAGUUUUGAGGGCCACUUUUUAUAUCAAUUUAUUCACUUAUAAUACAGAAAUAGAUAACAUAUCAUCAACUGUAGCACUUGGAUGAACUAUAUUAUACCCAAACAGGUUUGUUUCAUGAGUGAACAGGUUACGGUCUCAAUUUUGCAAGGAAACUGAAGAAUGGUCAGAAAAUUUACGUUCAGGUGCCCUCCUCAUAGUCGGAGCAAGGAACAAAUGAGUUUUUGGAUGAAGCAUGAGUAUUAUAUCCAACAUAAUCCAUCACAACUCCAUAUAUAAUUGUGUUGAGGAAGUCUAACUUUCCGUUUCAUUUGACAAGUAUGUAUAUACACGUGUUUAGAUAUAAGGUGCAUACUAUAUAGGACAACAUUGUAUGUAAUUUUUUAAUCAUCUGAAAGAAAUCAUUGGCAGUUUGUGCACUUCUUUCAUCGCCGGUUAGCCAUCUUUACUACUUGAGUGAAAAAUUCUGAGCCAUCCCCAUAAGUGAUCAUAUAUGUGAGUCCAUUGUAAUAUCACAAUCAUAUAUCAACAACCAAGAAAUUAACUGUGCUUUUCUUCUCAAGAAAUUUGUUUCCAACCUUUUUAUGCUCUUUGAUACACUAUGACCUGUGAUGCACCAUCUUUUUUUAUGUUUCAGAACAAAACCCUUGUAGUACAUAUUAUUUUGAUUUUGACUGACGCUAACUGCGGUUAUAAGAUGAAUUGUGGCGUCAUUUCCUUUUUUAUGUUUUAGAGUAAAUCUCCUAUAGAUCAAUUUUAUAUUUUUAUUUGAUCCUCUGCUAAUUGCAGUAAUGUACUAUAGAUGAAUGGACACACUGAAGGUCCCUUUGGCUGUGGAGCGCGCCACCCUUGACGACAUCUUCGUGUGGGAGUGGUCUGGUUCUGCCUACGACGAAGGGGCUGAAGCAGCUGAAUGGUUCUCUGCCUAUUUCAGGAAGCCAUAUCCCCUCGUGCGGUUUAAAGAAGGUGCAUACCUUGUGGUGUUCUUUAACAAUCACAAAAAAUACCUUGGAUGCGUGUGUAUUUAUUCAGAUUUUUUUCUCAUUGAGAUCAUCUCUGAUACUUAUGGAGAAUGUCCGUUUUUCAUGUCCUUUGGAGAGACCGAAAUCAGGCAGACUAAUCACGAGUAUGCUCAAGGUUACAAGCUCACAUUUGAGGAUGCCUUCCCGUUAUUGAUAGCAUCCCAGGUAAUUGUUUGCCUAUGUAAUAUGAACUAUGAAGGCUAUGUGCAUUGCUUCUAUACACAAAGCUCAAGCUGACAGUCCAUAUAAUUUGUAGGGCUCACUGUGUGCACUAAAUGAGAUUCUUAAAGGACUUGUACCAUUCAAUCGCUUCAGACCAAAGUAAGCAUCACACUGUAGUUUCAUUGCGAGAAGUAGCAAGAGUAGGUUGCUUCAAUCCCGAUGGUUUGUUUGUUGUUUGGCAUUAUUCAACCACAUAUGUUUACCUCUUCCUGAUGGCCUUGGUAACUUGAAAAUCAGCAGUGCCAUAUUGGCUCCCUCUAGGAUAUGUUUGGUGGAUUGAUCUGCUUUAACUAGCAAAUAAUAUUUUUGUACUAUUAUGAAAAACUGAGCUAUCUGCACUCCAAGGAAGUUUGAGAAAUACUUAAUAAAUCCCGUUUGUUUUCGUUGUUCAAUUAUUAGAAAAUACAUGAAUCUCUGUCAAGAAGUAUAAACCCUCUGAAUCUUGCUACGCUUAAUUUUUUGGAUCUUGUCAAUACAGAACAUGCUCAAAUUUUUACCUCACGACUAAACCAUACUAUCACUGUGUGCAGCAAUAGCCCCACACAGGUUAUUGAAGAAGUAAAGUGCGUCCUUGCAUUUAAUAACCUGCUAACUGUACUGAGCAAGCACCCUCAAGGCGAUCGAUUUGCACGUGGGCUUGGACCUAUUUCAUUAGGUAAGUUAGUGAAGAUCUUUGAAUUCAUAUGUUAAUGAGCCUUUGUUGUUGUUUGUAUGUUGAUAAGGUGGUCUAUCCUUAUGGAUUCUUAUUUUUGUCUUCUGCAUGGAUUGUCUAGCGGGAGAGCAAGAUCAUGAUAGGAGGGCUAGUGAUCCAAAGACAUUCUAUAGGGCCUAUGCAACAGAUGUACUUUCACAUGGACAUGUUGAUAAUGAGAAGGUGAUCACAUGUUAUUCACAUUUUGUUUAGUUAGCUGAUGUUCCAUAUGAGAUGGCAAGCUAAAAUAAGUAAUCAAUAAUUCCGUCGGUGUCUUAUGAAAUGGUUAACAUAGAUACCUAUUAUUGUAAAGCAUAUUUAUUUAAGUAAACCAGUGCAAGUUUGCAAGGCUAUAGGAUUUGGAAAAUACACUCUGGAUAUUAUGUGGACAAAGUUAGUCUAUUGACCUAUUAUUGUGAAGCAUAUUGAUUUAAGUAGACCAGUGCAAGUUUGCAAGGGUGUAAGAUUUGGAAAAUACAGUGUGGAUUUUAUGUGGACAAAGUUAGUCAGUUAGUCUAUUGACAUAUUUGGAUUACAAACAACAGUCUAUAGAUGGUGCAGCUUGUACUGCUAUAGCUUGCAUUGUGGAAACUGUUGUCUAUGUCUGAAAGUGUUUGCACCUAGGUGGAACAGUAACUCCAUGCCUGUCUAUGUCACACAUAUUCUUUUUUUGUAAUUCAUAUUAUUGUUCACACCAUGUUAGAUGCUGAACUAAACAAAACCAACUGCUACCUGCUAUUGUUAAGGAAUAAUCUGUGUAGCCUAGACCUCGCGCUGCAUUGCCUCGCCGACGUCUCCCAAGACCCCUCGGUGCUCUCCCACGGUAACCUCACCGCGCGGGCAAGCAUCGCCAUCGUCCGUGGCGAUCUCGCCUCAUCCGUCGACCGGUACACUAUGGGUUUCAUCUGCUGACCUGCUGCUGCUGUAGUUGUCCGGAGGCUCCUCGGAGACAGAUCGCCCAUCACGCAGCAGAACCGGUAGGGGGACAGCCUCAACCGCGACGAGGAGAAUGGCAGGAUCCAACAUAAGGUUUCUAGCCCACCCAUUUUGCCGCACUGGAUUAGGAAAUGCUUGCUCAUGCCUGGUGCUGAUGGUUGGUUGGGGUUCUACAGACUUGGCGGGGAUCGUGGAUUUCCUCGGCAUCUCGGCUUCAGUCGACACUGAGGUGAUUCAGGUGAGAGGAAUGCAUCUCUUUGUUCUUUGAGGCUUUCAUUUUCUAAGUAUCAGCUUUUGUUACUCACAGAUGACAGAUCUCUGGCGUGUAGUGUUGUAAGAAUAGCAAACUCAGAUUCAACGUGUCUCAUCUUUUGUGUUGUGUAUGUUGUGCUCUUCUCUUGCUUCUGUUACUACAGGUGUAUUUUUUUUAUAGAGAUUAAACAUGGUAAACAGGCCAUGAUAAUAUGCAAGAUCAAAAAAUGUCAUUAUCGUGUCGAAACAAACCUAGGAAGGCCAUCUUUCUAUUCGAAGGCGUAAUUGAGUGCUAAUGACUAGGUGCAUUCAAUCAAUUCGGCACUUCGGCAGUUUCAAAAAAUUAUACGAUUUUAUUAAUUUGUUUCAAGCUAAUCAUUUUCUGACAUUUGGGUUCACACUUCAAAUUAAGGUAGCAAUUAGGUUUGAAUCUGUGUGGUCGGGUUGGCACCGUUGCAUGCCCCAUUGAUGCAUGUCUGCGCCCCAUGAUAGUUCUCUAUUACAACUUUACAAGUUACCAAUGUGAUCAUUCUCUCCUUUAAUAUGCGCUAGAUAAAAUUGGUUGAGCAGAUUCUUGGUCUACUUGCUCAAUUUUUUCUUGAUUUUUAAUGUUUGGCUAAUACUUGUCAUGAAUAUACUACCGAAUAAGGGUAUGUAUAUGAUUAAGUUGGAACUUCUUCGCUCAUUUGAUCCACACUCAUCCAUGAUUAUUCUGUUUUAUUACUUUUCUUUGCUCUCCAUGGUUAAAUGUUUCAACGUUUUACAUGCAUGUAAAGCAUAGUGGAUUUAUUACUGCAACUUUCUUAUGAAGGUUAGUAGAGGGAGAUGGAAGAUGAGGAAUACACACCGAAAACCAUCUAUUCUCAACUUUGAUGCUGGAUGUGGAUCUUCCUUAUCUUUUAUUGUAAUGGGCUUGGUGGGAUGCACCAUCAUUGUCGGCCUAUUUUUCAUCAGCCAUCAAGUAAACAAUUGGCAUGCCCAUAGCUAUUCCAGCCAUCUGCCUGCCACCAGAGAAUUGGAAGAGGUUGAGGAAGAGCACUUUCGGUUGCCACCUUCUCACAAGGUGAAUCCUCAUGCAGUGAAAAGUGCAGUCAAACGUCGGAGAUCUAGCAAGGUUGCAAAGAUCAUCGAUGAAUAUCUGGAUGGGUCCUCAGCAUUACAUGACAUGUUCUUUCCUGCUGAAACAACUGAUGUGAACCCAACAAAAGGCGGAAAUGAUAGCAUGUACUUUUCUCCCGGUAAGGUAUGGCUGGACACUGAUGGAAAUGCCAUUCAAGCCCAUGGUGGUGGGAUUUUGUAUGAUCACAAUAUCGCGACAUACUAUUGGUACGGAGAAAACAAAGAUGGACCAACCUAUCAAAUUCACCCCGAAGGGGCACAACAGGUCAGUACAAAUUUCUAAUAAAAUAACAGCCUUAAGCAGUCUUUGUUUUUCCAGCAACCUGUUCUGUCGUGACUGGUUUUUAUUACCUGUUGUUUGUUCAUGAUUGAUUGCUUCUUAGUAGG
rnacentral:lncRNA from 1 species